rnacentral:lncRNA from 1 species
AAUGAAUUCAAGUUAAUAGCAAAGCUACAUCAUCGUAACCUAACCAAGUUGUUAGGAUACUGCAUUAAUGGAGCAGAAAAAUUCCUAGUCUAUGAGUUCAUGGAGAAUAAUAGCCUAGACAAGGUCAUAUUUGGUAUGACAUCUUAAACAACAUUCUUCUUUUUUGCUAUUGUCUGUGUUGUUUUGAUAUUGAAAAGCCAUAAAAGACAGAAAUUUGGGAGUAUUCGAGUGAAAUUGAGUAACUGUUUUUUGUACAUGUCCAGAUCCUGCAAGAAGGGGUACAGUAACAUGGCAAAUACAUAUAGUAGCUGGAAACAAAUGGUAAACAAAUUAUGCUCUUCUUCUGGGAAUACCACUUUCAACAAGAAAACUCUCAAUACAAAAAUGUCUCCCUACUAUUGAGAAGAUGAUAGCAAAUAAAAUGUUGUCUUCUAAGUUGUUGUCAUACAUAAGUAGACUGCAACUAUUGUAGAGUGGCAUGUCAAUGGUGCAACAAUAUGCAAGCCUAAGACAACAAGGACAUUGAAUGUGAUAGAUAUAUAUACAUGGAACAAGGCGG